GAUGAACGCUGGCGGCGUGCUUAACACAUGCAAGUCGAAUGGAAAGGCUCCUGCUUGCAGGGGUACUCGAGUGGCGAACGGGUGAGUAACACGUGGGUGAUCUGCCCUGCACUUCGGGAUAAGCCUGGGAAACUGGGUCUAAUACCGGAUAGGACGAUGGUUUGGAUGCCAUUGUGGAAAGUUUUUCGGUGUGGGAUGAGCUCGCGGCCUAUCAGCUUGUUGGUGGGGUAAUGGCCUACCAAGGCGUCGACGGGUAGCCGGCCUGAGAGGGUGUACGGCCACAUUGGGACUGAGAUACGGCCCAGACUCCUACGGGAGGCAGCAGUGGGGAAUAUUGCACAAUGGGCGCAAGCCUGAUGCAGCGACGCCGCGUGGGGGAUGACGGCCUUCGGGUUGUAAACUCCUUUCGCUAGGGACGAAGCGCAAGUGACGGUACCUGGAGAAGAAGCACCGGCUAACUACGUG
rnacentral:rRNA from 1 species